rnacentral:rRNA from 1 species
UAAAGGAGCGAUCCGGUGACGGAUGGGCAUGCGUGACAUUAGCUAGUCGGCGGGGUAACGGCCCACCGAGGCGACGAUGUCUAGGGGUUCUGAGAGGAAGGUCCCCCACACUGGUACUGAGACACGGACCAGACUCCUACGGGAGGCAGCAGUGAGGAAUAUUGGUCAAUGGGCUUACGCCUGAACCAGCCAAGUCGCGUGAGGGAAGACUGCCCUAUGGGUUGUAAACCUCUUUUGUCAGGGAGCAACGCCGGCUACGUGUAGCCGGACUGAGAGUACCUGAAGAAAAAGCAUCGGCUAACUCCGUGCCAGCAGCCGCGGUAAUACGGAGGAUGCGAGCGUUAUCCGGAUUUAUUGGGUUUAAAGGGUGCGUAGGCGGAAUGCCAAGUCAGCGGUAAAAUCGCGGGGCUCAACCUCGCUCCGCCGUUGAAACUGGCGUUCUUGAGUGGGCGAGAAGUAUGCGGAAUGCGUGGUGUAGCGGUGAAAUGCAUAGAUAUCACGCAGAACUCCGAUUGCGAAGGCAGCAUACCGGCGCCCAACUGACGCUGAAGCACGAAAGCGUGGGUAUCGAACAGGAUUAGAUACCCUGGUAGUCCACGCAGUAAACGAUGAAUACUAGCUGUUCGGGGCAAAUGAGCCUUGA